ensembl:lncRNA
AUUUAUUUCAUUUAUUUGAUAAGCUUUCAGUGCUUUGUCUAUUGAUCACCUGUUGUCCCAAUUUUCAUUGAUGCGGAAUGUCAUUCUUCAACAUGCUGAUACUUGAAUUCUUUCAAUCACUAUUAGUUGAAUCACUGUUUUAACUCUCAGUCAGUUGUGACUAGAUGGGAGUAGCCUGGCGCUUCCUCUUCUGGUACGUAGGCUGUACUGUCAGCUGGCGCAGAUGCAAGUUGCCUUCAAUGAAGACUUUGCUGGUCACAUGGUCUGUGAGCGUUAGGUAAUUGUUACUCCGCGGUGUUUCCUCAAUGACACUCUAUUUCGUAUAUGGAGCCCUGGCCAAAAGUAGUGCACUAUAUAGGGAAUAGGGCUCUGGCUAAAAGUAGUGCACUAUAUAGGGAAUAGGGCUCUGGCUAAAAGUAGUGCACUACAUAGGGAAUAGGGCCCUGGCCAAAAGUAGUGCACUAUAUAGGGAAUAGGGCUCUGGUCUAAAGUAGUGCACUAUAUAGGGAACAUAUGGAGCCCUGGCCAAAAGUAGUGCACUAUAAAGGGAAUAGGGCUCUGGUUUAAAGUAGUGCACUCUAUAGGGAAUAGGGCUCUGGUCUAAAGUAGUGCACUAUAUAGGGAAUAGGGCUCUGGUCUAAAGUAGUGCACUAUAUAGGGAAUAGGGCUCUGGUCUAAAGUAGUGCACUAUAUAGGGAAUAGGGCUCUCUGGUCUAAAGUAGUGCACUAUAUAGGGAAUAGGACUUUGGUCUAAAGUAGUGCACUAUAUAGGGAAUAGGGCUCUGGUCUAUAGUAGUGUACUAUAUAGGGAAUAGGGCUCUGGUCUAUAGUAGUGUACUAUAUAGGGAAUAGGGCUCUGGUCUAAAGUAGUGCACUAUAUAGGGAAUAGGGCUCUGGUCUAAAGUAGUGCACUAUAUAGGGAAUAGGGCUCUGGUCUAUAGUAGUGUACUAUAUAGGGAAUAGGGCUCUGGUCUAAAGUAGUGUACUAUAUAGGGAAUAGAGUGGCAUUUAGGAUGAAGGGCUGGCUUUGAGGGACCGUGAACCUUCCUUCUCGGAAGGAAAAUACCACAUUGACCUAGCAGCUGAAUUUAAAUGAUCAACUAUCAAUUAAGGGCCAACCAUGCUGAAGCAUCAUUUACAAAGAAGGCAACAGUUAGCUAAUGAACACAAACAACUCGAAGGGAGUAAGAAACAGAAAGAUUCCUUCCUGCUUGCUAUUGUAUAAGGGUUUCUUGUGUCAUCCAGCAUGAGAUGUUUAUUUCCAGGAAGGACAACAACAACAACAACAACAACGCUUGUAAAUAAUGUAUUGUAAUAAUUUUAAGCACAAAUGUAAUACAGUUUUAUUGUGUUAACAAUGUGUGCAUUCAGUGUCUUCCUUUUCCUCUGCAAACUGUCAUAUAGCGCUCUGGAAAGAAAUGUCCC